UACGUAGGGUGCGAGCGUUAAUCGGAUUUACUGGGCGUAAAGCGUGCGCAGGCGGCCCGUUAAGACAGGUGUGAAAUCCCUGGGCUCAACCUAGGAAUUGCGCUUGUGACUGGCGGGCUGGAGUACGGUAGAGGGGGGUGGAAUUCCUGGUGUAGCAGUGAAAUGCGUAGAUAUCAGGAGGAACACCGAUGGCGAAGGCAGCCCCCUGGGCCUGUACUGACGCUCAUGCACGAAAGCGUGGGGAGCAAACAGG
rnacentral:rRNA from 1 species